rnacentral:rRNA from 1 species
ACGACUGCUAAUACCGCAUAAGCCCACGGUGCCGCAUGGCACAGAGGGAAAAGGAAGCAAUCCGCUUUGAGAUGGCCUCGCGUCCGAUUAGCUAGUUGGUGAGGUAACGGCCCACCAAGGCAACGAUCGGUAGCCGGACUGAGAGGUUGAACGGCCACAUUGGGACUGAGACACGGCCCAGACUCCUACGGGAGGCAGCAUG